AUGCAAAUAGAAUUUGGGAUGCCAAAAGCACAAAAUAAAACUAAGGAACAGAUAGAAGAAGAAAUUCAAUUAGAUAAUGAUGUAACAGAGAUUAAAGAGAAAAAUUUUGGAACAGUAGAACAAGAUACAAAGAAAGAGGAAGAAACAGAACUGGAAACAGUCUGUAAUACACAAACUGUAAGUGAAUUAAUUGAAGCAUAUGAGCUAACAAUAGAAGGGUCCAAUGGGGAGGAAAAUGCAAUAACAGAAAACAUUCAAAUUAGCAGACCCCCUGGAGACAAUGGCAUGGAAAGCAGGGAUUAUAUUACAAAAGAAAAUACCAUUGACAUAAUAGAAAAGUCAACUUUAAAUCUUUUUGCAGAAGAAUUCCAACCAAUAGUAAAUGCACAAGAAAAAGCAAACACAAACAUUAUGCCAUCCUUAAGUCUCCAUAAUAAUGCAAUUCCAUUUCAAACUGAUGAUGGAUUGCAAAAUGAAUGUUCAAAGCAACAAGAAAAGUCUGUAGAUGAAGAACAAAACUGGGAUUUGAAUAAAAUAGAAAUAGAGGCACCUAUGCUCCAAGUGUGCCAACAAAAUGAGAACACAGAACCAAGGGUUAUGAUAAAAGUGGGUAAUGAGAUCUACCCAGCUCUUAUUGAUACAGGAGCAACUAAAUCUGUUUUAAAAACAUCUCCUGAAGACAGCCAAAUCACAAGUUAUGUACAAAUAAUGGGGGCUACAGGGAAAAAACAGAGAGUACCAAAACUAAAAUCAAAACUGGUAACACUAGGACCCCUAACAACAGAACACACAUUCUUGUUAAUCCCAGAAUACCCAAUCAACCUUCUUGGGAGAGACUUUUUGUGUAAAAUUGGAGCAACUAUUCAAUGUGAUAAAUCAGGGAAAAUCUUUCUACAUCUACCCAAAGACUCUUUAAAAUAUUAUCCAUUGAUGUUCAUGGGGAAAGUGGAUGAUGAACAAGUCCAGAAUGAAGGCACAAUAUUUGAAAUACCAAGUGAUAUACCCUAA
rnacentral:lncRNA from 1 species